rnacentral:rRNA from 1 species
UACGGAGGGGGCAAGCGUUGUUCGGAAUUACUGGGCGUAAAGGGCGCGUAGGCGGCCUGCUGCGUCGGGUGUGAAAGCCCCGGGCUCAACCUGGGAGGUGCACUUGAUACGGGCGGGCUGGAAUCCGGGAGAGGAUGGUGGAAUUCCCAGUGUAGAGGUGAAAUUCGUAGAUAUUGGGAAGAACACCGAUGGCGAAGGCAGCCAUCUGGACCGGUAUUGACGCUGAGGCGCGAAAGCGUGGGGAGCAAACAGG